rnacentral:rRNA from 1 species
UACGUAGGGUGCAAGCGUUAAUCGGAAUUACUGGGCGUAAAGAGUGUGUAGGCGGUGUUCCCAGUCUGUUGUGAAAUCUCCCGGCUUAACUGGGAGGGUGCAGCGGAAACUAGAAUGCUAGAGGGUGGGAGAGGUAAGCGGAAUUCCUGGUGUAGCGGUGAAAUGCGUAGAUAUCAGGAGGAACACCUGUGGUGUAGACAGCUUACUGGACCACUUCUGACGCUGAGACACGAAAGCGUGGGUAGCAAACAGG